rnacentral:rRNA from 1 species
GAGUACACUAUAUUCUUAUUUGAAAUUGAACAUAGGUAACUAUACAUUUAUUCAGUAAUCAAAUUAGGAUAUUUUUAUUAAAAUAUCCUUUUCCCUGUUCUACUAAUAAUUUGUUUUUUACUCUAUUUCUCUCUUCUUUUAAGAAUGUACUUGCUCU